UGCAGUCGAGCGAAUGGAUUAAGAGCUUGCUCUUAUGAAGUUAGCGGCGGACGGGUGAGUAACACGUGGGUAACCUGCCCAUAAGACUGGGAUAACUCCGGGAAACCGGGGCUAAUACCGGAUAACAUUUUGAACCGCAUGGUUCGAAAUUGAAAGGCGGCUUCGGCUGUCACUUAUGGAUGGACCCGCGUCGCAUUAGCUAGUUGGUGAGGUAACGGCUCACCAAGGCAACGAUGCGUAGCCGACCUGAGAGGGUGAUCGGCCACACUGGGACUGAGACACGGCCCAGACUCCUACGGGAGGCAGCAGUAGGGAAUCUUCCGCAAUGGACGAAAGUCUGACGGAGCAACGCCGCGUGAGUGAUGAAGGCUUUCGGGUCGUAAAACUCUGUUGUUAGGGAAGAACAAGUGCUAGUUGAAUAAGCUGGCACCUUGACGGUACCUAACCAGAAAGCCACGGCUAACUACGUGCCAGCAGCCGCGGUAAUACGUAGGUGGCAAGCGUUAUCCGGAAUUAUUGGGCGUAAAGCGCGCGCAGGUGGUUUCUUAAGUCUGAUGUGAAAGCCCACGGCUCAACCGUGGAGGGUCAUUGGAAACUGGGAGACUUGAGUGCAGAAGAGGAAAGUGGAAUUCCAUGUGUAGCGGUGAAAUGCGUAGAGAUAUGGAGGAACACCAGUGGCGAAGGCGACUUUCUGG
rnacentral:rRNA from 1 species